UGCAUACUUUUUUAUGUUGAA
rnacentral:piRNA from 1 species